rnacentral:rRNA from 1 species
UUCCAAAAACAUAGCCUUUAGCAAUAUAAGUAUUAAAGGUCCUGCCUGCCCAGUGAAACCCCUUCUUUUCAACGGCCGCGGUAUUCUAACCGUGCAAAGGUAGCGUAAUCACUUGUCUCCUAAAUAGGGACUAGUAUGAACGGCUAAAUGAAGACAAGCCUGUCUCUUGGGGCCUAUCAGUGAAACUGAUCUUCCAGUCCAAAAGCUGGAAUAUAAACACAAGACGAGAAGACCCUGUGGAGCUUUAAAUUUACUACCAAUAAACUAACCCUGGUAUAAGAUUUUAAGUUGGGGCGACUUCGGAACAAAACAGAACUUCCGAGCACAGAACUACCACUUCUAUCUUAGGCGGACACGCCAAAGAACUAAAUUAGACCCAGUCAAACUGAUCAACGAACCAAGUUACCCCAGGGAUAACAGCGCCAUCUUCUUCAAGAGUCCCUAUCGACAAGAAGGUUUACGACCUCGAUGUUGGAUCAGGACACCCAAAUGGUGCAGCCGCUAUUAAAGGUUCGUUUGUUCAACGAUUAAUAGUCCUACGUGAUCUGAGUA